UACGGAGGGUGCAAGCGUUAAUCGGAAUUACUGGGCGUAAAGCGUGCGCAGGCGGUUUGGUAAGUCUGCUGUGAAAUCCCCGAGCUCAACUUGGGAAUUGCAGUGGAUACUGGCAAGCUGGAGUACGGUAGAGGAAGGUGGAAUUCCCGGUGUAGCAGUGAAAUGCGUAGAUAUCGGGAGGAACACCAGUGGCGAAGGCGGCCUUCUGGACCAGUACUGACGCUCAUGCACGAAAGCGUGGGGAGCAAACAGG
rnacentral:rRNA from 1 species